UGUAUCGUUAACCCCUUUUCACUUCCUAACGUUACAUUAUUUAUAUUGAAUCGGAAGUUUUCAAUAGUUUUAUAGAUUCACAAAGCACUGUUUUUCGUGUAAAAAUGUCAAACUAAGUAGAAAUUAGUAGACAAUCUUUACCGUUUUAACUGCUAGCUAGCUAAAAUUGGGCCUUAAAAUGAACAAUUUAAUGUCCCGCUCUCCUGCUGAAGUAACGUUAACAUUAUACUGUUGACUAUGGAAAAGUUUGAAUGGUCUUGCUGAAUAUUGCUCAGGAUGGAACGUUUACACAUAAAGCUAUUUUUUUUUCAAUCGCACUAAAUCGUGCAUAAAUGAGGUCUUAAAGUAAGCAGGGCUGCGUUUCUAAAAGCAUCCUGUUUCUAAAAGUUGAUUGUAGAGAAUAGAGACCAUCAAGGAGGAAUUCAGGAGAAUCGAUCAUGGGGCAGAGAUUCAUGUUCAAUGCACAUCAAGACUUAUUGCCCUGAUGAAGGCCAUGGGAGGUGUUGUGGGGACCAAACUGAGGCCAUUUCUGGACAAACUGAGUCAGACACAAAGCCUUGAGAUGGGAAUCAGUUAUCCGCAGCCUCAUUCUCUACUUUGAC